GAGAAGUUUUCUACUGUGGAGAGAGAGAAGGAGAGAGACCUUAGGACAAUCAGGCCUAAAUGGAUGUCUCCAUUAAGUCCCCCUCCUCAGAGCUCAGGGAUACUGCAAAAGAGGAAGCUGAAAUAUUGUAAGAGCCAGAGGGUGGAGGACACCAAGGAAACACAGCCCUCAAAGCACAGCAGUACUGACAUACAUAAAAACUCACAGAGAAUUAUCAUCCAAAGUAAUGGACUUUCUUUUGACUUACAGUUGCAGAGGAUAAGAGUCCAUGGUGACAGAUAAGCAUCGCAGUAAGAGGCAGGAAUCUGAGAGCUCACAGCUUCAAUGGCAAACGGGAAGCACAGAGAUCAAACUGGUGAGGCAGCACGGUUAACUGGGGAUCGAGUGUUCAAAUGCCUGAGCCUACAGGGGACAUUUUUCAUUUCAAGCUCCACAGUAACCAUCAGAGGUCUUUAUAGACUCCCAACUUGGGCUGUGAGGGCUCCAGUGGCAUCCUUUUUCGGAUACUGUUUGGUUCCUGGUAAUGCAGUUCUCUAUAAGACAGUUGCAACUCACUUAAGAUCGGAAAGGAAAAAUGUUUGCAGAGAACCCUGGCCUUUCUCUUCACAUUGUGGCUGUAAUACUGAAUGGGAAAGAGAACAUCCCUGGCCUGGUGAAGUAUAUUUUCUACUGGGACAGAUUUCUUGGGCUUUCUUUAUAUUGUCAUUAAAUUUGGAUCUGCGCUCAAAUUAAAUUUGCAUGAAUGCUAUUUUGAGGCACUCACUUCCCUCUGCCAUUCAGAAACUUCUUCAGAUGUCAGGCAUGACAAGAAGUGAACAUGAAUGUAGACAAUGUCUGCCGAGGCUCUGCCAACAGUUGAUUCAAAUACCAUGCCUGUUCAGCUCAGUGAGAUGAAACUGUGAUUGUUGAUUGCACACAAAUCCUACUUCAGGGGGGAUUUAGCCAAUAAAAAGGUACCCAUUGACACAUUCUCAGCAAGAGAAAGAGAGCAAAGAAAUCAAUGCCAGGAAGCUGAGGAUGUCACUCUGUUGGUGGAGUACUUGCCCGGCACACGUGACCCUGGGUUCCAUUCCCAACAUCGCACACAGUCAGUGCAGUAGUGCAUGUCUAUAAGUCCAGCCAUGGGACAUAGCCACAAGAACGUCAGAAAUUCAAGGUAAUUCUCUGCUACAGAAAGGGUCUGAGACCAGCCUGGGAUACAUGAAACUUUUUCUUAAAACAAAAUGAAAAAGGAAAUCCACCUAAGUGCAGGUGCCGGUGGGAACAUAUUAGCAAGUGUAAUUGUCUGAAGCCUUUUGGCAGGCAGAAACCUAUAUAUCCUUCAAAGAUGUCACCUCUGUAACAAGUUACGAUGACUGAUGAUCAUCUUAUCAGCUGGCCUGCCCUCAGCUUUCAGUUACUACAACAAGUAAGAGACCCAGUCAACUUAUAAGGAAAAACAGGUUAAUUUUGGUUCAGACUUUAAAGGACUCGGUCCAUGCCAAAUUGCCCUUCUAAAUUCUGGUCCCAUAGCCUGGCAACAUAUGGGGACUGGGAGCACAGUGCUUGAGUCACUCAUGAAUUAGUCAGAUGUAAAAGAGAGAAAGAGAAGGGACUAGGGUUCCACAAUGCCUUUCAAGAGGAGUAAAUCUCAGUGCCCCAAAGACUUCCCAAUAGAACUCACCUCUUAAAGCUGAAAUCAAAUCCUCUCUAAUGCUCAGGCUUUUGGGGACACAGAAUAUCAAAUAACAGCCUUGGGAACCAGUGACGUAGCAAGACGCCAGACAGAUAUAUGUAGCCACAGUGGCUCCCCAGGACCAAUAAUUCUUUUCCAUGUCUGAAUUCUUUCAUUUAACCUAUGCCCUCCAGAUUCAUGCUAAUAGAUGGCCUCCUUCUUUAAUGAAUAUGAUGUCAACGUGACGUCAUUGUGGUUUUCCUUUCCCAUCCAUCACAUAAUGGGUACUCAAGUUGGCUUACAUUAUCGUGGCUCUACAGUACCAUGGAAUGUGGGUGUUUUCAGCAACCACCAUCAUCUUACUAAUCAACCUGGCCACCUUCACUUACAUUUCCAACAACAAAAGAAGGGGUGUCCCUUCAUCAGCCAUCCUUGCUGGGACUUGUUAUCUUUUUUGUUUUUAUGAUUUUUGUAACCAGUCUGGCAGGAAGGAGGAACUAUCCCAGUAUGGGGGUAUGUUGCAUUUCUCUGAUGAUUAGAGAUAAGGCCUUAAGAGUGAGGAACAUUUAUAAUUCGCAACACACAUUACCCAUUUAUACAGAAAGCCAGUCUCACAUUGUGAACAGUCUGAAGUUGUGGUAGGAAGUGUGCAUGGACUAAUUCUCCACUGACCUUUGCAAAGCUCAUGCCAGAGAUAAAGGAGGUUACUGGGUCUGGAAAUGGAUAGCACAGAUUCUGUCAUGUACUGAAUUUAUGUCUUGAUUGUACUUUGCUCACAAUGGACAAGGUCCAAACACCUGUCUUACCAUCCCCAUAUACGUGUCUAUCUAAUCUGUGAGCCUCUUGUACCACAUUCACCUGUCAUGAGGAGCAUGCGCUAAGCUGGUAGUUUAAAGAGUAUGUUUCCCUACACACAUCAUCUUGGAGCUCUGCUUAUGAACAGAGGCAUGGAGGACAACUGAACAGCAGUACAACAUCCAUUUAAUAGAUAUGAAACAGCAAGGGGCUUUGGAGUGUGGCACAUCCGUGACAAUGACAGACAGGGAUGGGAAGACAGCCCCAUUUGUGUCUUGCUGUCUGCUAGAAGAGACUUGUUGACCUCAUCGAGGGAUGAAAAGGAAAGCAUAGAUCCAGCAACCCCCAGGAAAAGAUUUUUUUUUGAUGGGAAACAGUCACCUAGACACAGUGAAACCAAACUGCAUAAUGACUGUGCUUUCAUAGGGGACCAUUAAACACAGUUUAAAUGUCAACACUGCCGGAGGAGAUGGCUUGUCUUGAGAAAAGCAGCUGUCAAAGCAAGUGCAUCCUAAGGAAGCCCGAAUAGCAUCCCGGUAGAAGAGAAUCCGGUCUCCAUGCUACAGAUGCUCCUGCUUCCCAGUGCACUCUGAUACAUACCACUAAAGACGCUCUUAAUUGUCUGAUUGUCCGCUGAGAAAUCUUCCGCUCUUCCUCUGCUCUCAUCAACAAGAGCUAUUCACAGCAUACAUGUCCUCUACUGUCACCAUGAAGAGAACUGAAUGUGGCACUUUUAAGUACUUUCCAGAUGUUUCCCCAGCUUCUUGAGAGCCACGGGAAGCAUCCCGUGGCUUGCUAUCGUAACAGGCUGGACCCCAAAAAAGGGGAUUUUGACGAGCAGGGUGAGUAUUCGACUUGGUGUGAAUACAACUCCACUAUAUGAUUAGGGAGUCAAGAAUGGGAACCCCAGAGGGAGAGAGUCAAGAAAAUCACUGGAGGGGAGGAGCCGGAACUACUACUCACUCAGAGUACUUAUGUGCACUUGGUCCACGCUGCCUACUGUGUGUAUAUGAAGGGGGUUAUCUUUUAGGGGAAGGGUACAUUAUGCACUCAUGGAU
rnacentral:lncRNA from 1 species